GGGGCUGAUUUAGGAUUCGACAGGAUCAUGAAGGCUCGUGGAGCAUGCCGAGGUGCGGCUGGCCUCGUAAAAAGCCGCAAAAAAAUAGUUGCUAAUGACAACUACUACGGUUCUGACGCUCUAGCAGCGUAAUAGUAGCUUAAACACUACCAGACCACUUCUGCCCUAGCUUCCGCUUGUAAGACGGGGAGUAACAGAAGUUCAAACCCAAACAAGAUAGCGAGGGAAUCUUUGACUAGAGAGAUGAACCGCGAAGUAGAAUUCUAGUAUGCCUUAGCAUAGCGUGUCAGUUCGCAGUGUUGAGACGAGAAUAAAAACUGACUAAGCAUGUAGCGCCAUUAGUUAGACUGGUUUUGGACGCGGGUUCAACUCCCGCCAGCUCCACCA
rnacentral:tmRNA from 2 species